GAUUAAGUAAGCUAAACUAAGCUGUUGGGCUCAUACCCCAAAAAUGGAAUUAUUCCCUUAAUCA
rnacentral:tRNA from 1 species